UUGCCGGCAAUGAUUGUGAUGGGCCGUUGCCUACCACUUGAACACGCUUUUAUCUUUCAAGACUUUUGCAAGCCACUAAAAAUAUCCAUGUACUAACUAGAGAAAUCUAGAAAAAUUAGAAAAACUAUGGCUAAAAACAACUUUGGAAAAGUCAAACCAACUUUUCCAAAUCAAGCUGCCGACAUAGCAGCCCAUAUAUAUUCAAUCAAGGAAAGCUGAAGCUAGCCAACUCUUGUAUCCAACUCUAAAGCCUUAUACCCUUCUUAUUUCAUUAUUCUAUAUUUUAUAAUUGCUUCCACUGUAAACUUAAGGUUUCGGUGUACUUCUUACAAAUUUAGGGCUUCGGUGGCCACUGAAAUUGUUUAGGGUUUGGGGAUUUAGAAGCACAGCAUCUAAAGAGAGGGUGAGAGAACAAUACUAACAUCAGCCUGUUUUGAGUAGAUUCUUUCAGAUUACAUACGUGGUUCGAAGUUUAGGCCUGUUUUGUUUGGCUGAGUUGUAAUUGACUUCUUUGAAUCGAAACUACAGACCCAGAACACACAGUUGCCAGCAAUGGAAGAAGAAGACACCAGCAACAGAUAUAGUGGCACAGGUAAUAGAAUUAUAAACCCCGAUCACGCAGCUGAUGUUGGGAUUUUUGAGCAUCCCAACUCAGAUGUCAACUGGAGCAACGCCGCC